AGCAGUAGUGUGUGACGAGAAGCCUACAACUAUCAAUUUAGAGGAGCUCUUGCGCAAUAAAGAAGCAUUUCAACCGCUGCUUCUUGCAGCAGUACAGUGUUUCCAAAGAGAGAAAAACACCACUACUGGCAUAAGCUGGAUUUCUGCUGUUGGUUGAGCAUGUGCAGUGGAAUUGCCAGGUCACAGCCUGAGCCAGUACGUGAGCACAUGAGUGCCUGGAGCUGGGGGAGCCUAGCUCCACCCUUCCUCUUUCUCCGUCCCAGCAGUGCUUCUGGGAGCGCGUGCGCAGUCAGUCCGCAGGGGGCUCCUCAGCCCCCCCCGCGCCCCCCCAGGCCCGUCCCCCCCUUCUUCCAGCGAUCCAG